GAUGAACGCUAGCGGCAGGCUUAAUACAUGCAAGUCGAGGGACAGCACAGGUAGCAAUACUGGGUGGUAACCGGCAAACGGGUGCGGAACACGUACACAACCUUCCUUUAAGUGGGGGAUAGCCCAGAGAAAUUUGGAUUAAUACCCCGUAAUAUAGUUGAAUGGCAUCAUUUGAUUAUUAUAGCUACGGCGCUUAAUGAUGGGUGUGCGGCUGAUUAGAUAGUUGGCGGGGUAACGGCCCACCAAGUCUACGAUCAGUAGCUGAUGUGAGAGCAUGAUACGCCACACGGGCACUGAGACACGGGCCCGACUCCUACGGGAGGCAGCAGUAAGGAAUAUUGGUCAAUGGACGCAAGUCUGAACCAGCCAUGCCGCGUGAAGGAUUAAGGUCCUCUGGAUUGUAAACUUCUUUUAUUUGGGACGAAAAAGGGCCUUUCUAGGUCAACUGACGGUACCAGAUGAAUAAGCACCGGCUAACUCCGUGCCAGCCGCCGCAGUAAAAC
rnacentral:rRNA from 1 species